GUUUCCACUUCAGGUGCGACAGAAGGGUGAACUCCACCUCACCUCCUGGCUACAGAGUGCGGUGGCGCCAGCACAGAGCUCUGCUCAACGUCCCUCUGUGCUUUCACGAUGCUGAUGGAUUAUGAAGUCCACAGACAGCAAGGGCAGUAUCACUGCAGUGGCAGUCGCAGAUGGACUUUCAGUCGCCUCUAGGAGCUCCACCCCACAGAAACACAGACAGCAGCCAGUGGAAAUGUUCAGCUGAGUGUGAGGUGCCUGCACUGUGGGCCCAAGCCAGGAGCCCUGCCUGGUGAAGAGUAGCAGAUGAGGAAGCGGAUGCAUAGCAAGUUUAAAUAGCUUGCAGAAGGACACACAGUUUGCAAGUGAAGGAGCUCAAAUUCAAAGACUGGCAGUCUGCAUCCAGAGUUGAUCAU
rnacentral:lncRNA from 10 species